rnacentral:rRNA from 1 species
AUUGAACGCUGGCGGCAUGCCUUACACAUGCAAGUCGAACGGCAGCACGGGUGCUUGCACCUGGUGGCGAGUGGCGAACGGGUGAGUAAUACAUCGGAACAUGUCCUGUAGUGGGGGAUAGCCCGGCGAAAGCCGGAUUAAUACCGCAUACGAUCUACGGAUGAAAGCGGGGGACCUUCGGGCCUCGCGCUAUAGGGUUGGCCGAUAGCUGAUUAGCUAGUUGGUGGGGUAAAGGCCUACCAAGGCGACGAUCAGUAGCUGGUCUGAGAGGACGACCAGCCACACUGGGACUGAGACACGGCCCAGACUCCUACGGGAGGCAGCAGUGGGGAAUUUUGGACAAUGGGCGAAAGCCUGAUCCAGCAAUGCCGCGUGUGUGAAGAAGGCCUUCGGGCUGUAAAGCACUUUUGUCCGGAAAGAAAUCCUUGGCUCUAAUACAGUCGGGGGAUGACGGUACCGGAAGAAUAAGCACCGGCUAACUACGUG